rnacentral:tRNA from 1 species
GCCUUCGUGGUGUAGUGGUGAGGACGCUCGACGUGUAUUCGAGAGGUCCGUGGUUCGAGUCCCGGCGAGGGCG